rnacentral:rRNA from 1 species
UACGUAGGGUGCGAGCGUUGUCCGGAAUUAUUGGGCGUAAAGGGCUCGUAGGCGGUUUGUCGCGUCGGGAGUGAAAACAUCGGGCUUAACUCGAUGUUUGCUUUCGAUACGGGCAGACUUGAGGUAUGCAGGGGAGAAUGGAAUUCCCGGUGUAGCGGUGAAAUGCGCAGAUAUCGGGAAGAACACCCGUGGCGAAGGCGGCUCUCUGGGACGGUACUGACGCUGAGACGCGAAAGCGUGGGGAGCGAACAGG